UUUAACUGAAGAGUUUGAUCAUGGCUCAGAUUGAACGCUGGCGGCAGGCUUAACACAUGCAAGUCGAGCGGGGGAAGGUAGCUUGCUACCGGACCUAGCGGCGGACGGGUGAGUAAUGCUUAGGAAUCUGCCUAUUAGUGGGGGACAACAUCUCGAAAGGGAUGCUAAUACCGCAUACGUCCUACGGGAGAAAGCAGGGGAUCUUCGGACCUUGCGCUAAUAGAUGAGCCUAAGUCGGAUUAGCUAGUUGGUGGGGUAAAGGCCUACCAAGGCGACGAUCUGUAGCGGGUCUGAGAGGAUGAUCCGCCACACUGGGACUGAGACACGGCCCAGACUCCUACGGAGGCAGCAGUGGGGAAUAUUGGACAAUGGGGAACCCUGAUCCAGCCAUGCCGCGUGUGUGAAGAAGGCCUUAUGGUUGUAAAGCACUUUAAGCGAGGAGGAGGCUACUUUAGUUAAUACCUAGAGAUAGUGGACGUUACUCGCAGAAUAAGCACCGGCUAACUCUGUGCCAGCAGCCGCGGUAAUACAGAGGGUGCGAGCGUUAAUCGGAUUUACUGGGCGUAAAGCGUGCGUAGGCGGCUUAUUAAGUCGGAUGUGAAAUCCCCGAGCUUAACUUGGGAAUUGCAUUCGAUACUGGUGAGCUAGAGUAUGGGAGAGGAUGGUAGAAUUCCAGGUGUAGCGGUGAAAUGCGUAGAGAUCUGGAGGAAUACCGAUGGCGAAGGCAGCCAUCUGGCCUAAUACUGACGCUGAGGUACGAAAGCAUGGGGAGCAAACAGGAUUAGAUACCCUGGUAGUCCAUGCCGUAAACGAUGUCUACUAGCCGUUGGGGCCUUUGAGGCUUUAGUGGCGCAGCUAACGCGAUAAGUAGACCGCCUGGGGAGUACGGUCGCAAGACUAAAACUCAAAUGAAUUGACGGGGGCCCGCACAAGCGGUGGAGCAUGUGGUUUAAUUCGAUGCAACGCGAAGAACCUUACCUGGCCUUGACAUACUAGAAACUUUCCAGAGAUGGAUUGGUGCCUUCGGGAAUCUAGAUACAGGUGCUGCAUGGCUGUCGUCAGCUCGUGUCGUGAGAUGUUGGGUUAAGUCCCGCAACGAGCGCAACCCUUUUCCUUACUUGCCAGCAUUUCGGAUGGGAACUUUAAGGAUACUGCCAGUGACAAACUGGAGGAAGGCGGGGACGACGUCAAGUCAUCAUGGCCCUUACGGCCAGGGCUACACACGUGCUACAAUGGUCGGUACAAAGGGUUGCUACACAGCGAUGUGAUGCUAAUCUCAAAAAGCCGAUCGUAGUCCGGAUUGAGUCUGCAACUCGACUCCAUGAAGUCGGAAUCGCUAGUAAUCGCGGAUCAGAAUGCCGCGGUGAAUACGUUCCCGGGCCUUGUACACACCGCCCGUCACACCAUGGGAGUUUGUUGCACCAGAAGUAGCUAGCCUAACUGCAAAGAGGGCGGUUACCACGGUGUGGCCGAUGACUGGGGUGAAGUCGUAACAAGGUAGCCGUAGGGGAACCUGCGGCUGGAUCACCUCCUUAA
rnacentral:rRNA from 1 species